rnacentral:lncRNA from 1 species
AUGCACCAGAAAAACAUCACAAUGUCAUGUUCUUAAGAAUAGAUUCAACAGCCACUGCAUUAUAGAACUAAAAGUGAGAGGCAAAUAUGCACCAGAAAAAUCCAUACAUAUGUUAAAUGAAGAACUUAUGCUGACUUAUUUGGACGGAACCUUUUUGCAAAAGCAAUUUGGAGAUGUUGCUAAGAUCAUCACUUAUGUGCACAAAAUAGUUUGGAGAUGUCCUAAACUUAUUCUAGUGACUUAAAGCUUCUACUGGUAAGGAUUUUCCAGCACACUGCAACAAAAGAAAGAAACAGAAAAGUCCCGACAAAGCUUUCUUUCUAGAAACAAGACUAAUUGGCUACGAGAAACAUCAGAAUCCUUCUAAAGCCUUCUAUGAGUCUCAUCAAAAGGAAAGAUUUAGUAGAGUCUCAUUUAGAGGGAAGCUCUAAUGGAGUUGCAUCCUUAAAAUUAUCGAUGGAUAAUCAGCUGAAAUUCUACAUAACACAAGAAUUUAGUGUACUUCAAACCAAUAAGAAUUAAACAAGAACAAGUUUCCGUAAAUCAUAUGAGACAUUAAUCUUAUCUAGAUGAUGGAGAAAUAAUAUACAUUGCAGAAUAUUGAUAAUUUACUAGAACACUGCUUGCACAAAAUACAGGAUAUGAAGUAGACAUGAACCACAACAAAGCUAAAUAUCUCAUCUUUCAGUGUAGAAUCCAAAUGCAGUAUCAAUUUGUGGUUCCACAAUGCAAAAGCUUCUAAUAGAUCUCAAAAAACCAUUUUAAGGAAGACAUACGAGAUUACCCCUUUCAUCUUCAUCACCAAUAUGAUUUUAAACUAACAUUAUAUAUUCCAACAAGCUAAAACUUGGACU